CUGUGCUCAGCAGUGACCACCAGGUGGCAGCACGUUCCCACUGCCUCCCAGACCGCAGGCUGAGCGAGAAACCGAGAAGCUGGGAGGAGUUGGUGGCACCCCCUUUCAGUGCUGCUUAGAGCGACCUCAGAUGGUGCGGAACACGAAGGAAUCGAGAAUGAAGGGCAAAGGAGACAGGGAUAGAUUGCCAACUGCCUAAGUUCAACCUGAUCCCAUGGAAUAUUUCUGGGCCGCACUAAAUUCAAUGCUCUUGACUCAAGAAGGUUGAGAAGCUGCUUCUACUUAUUCAAGCUUGUGAGUAUUCCAAGAAAAACAGUAUCUGUGUUUUUCUGUAGAGUGCACGACGCCGCUCACACACUCCGCUUCACUCAGUUAGCAAAACCACCACCCGAGAGGCCCGUCUUACUCAUCUCUGCCCGCAGCAGAAGAAACUGAGGCCCGGAGGCUGGAGGGGUCUGCUCAGGACUGUCCCUGUACCAACAUCAGAGGGGACUCGGGGACAGGAGCCUCUCACCGGCCUCCUCACCUCAGGAGAGGACAGUGAAGACGGGGAGAGGGCUUGUCAGCUGCCAUGGAGACAACGCCAACCACCAUGGGCUGGGCACUUUGCCAGGUGUCGCUGACGAUUCUAUAGCCGUCCUGGAGGUAAGUACUGUUGGAUCCAUUGCACAGAGGAGGAAACUAAGGCGCGGUGACACCUGAGUGACUUGGCCAGUGAGCCACCUGAGCAACAAAGCCAGUGAAUGACAGGGCCGUGGCCCGGACCCAAGUCUGUCUUGGCGUCAAAGCCUUGGCUCUUCCCAGUGAACCCCACGAGAAGAAUACCAUAUCAGUUAUGCCAAAACCCAGUUUGUCAUCUGAGGCAGAAAUUCUUCAGUGUCCCAAUGGGCUCCGCUUAGAAGACGGUGGUUCGGGACCGCUGUGGGCAGCCGACCUCUGUUCCUCUGCGUUCUCCGUGUGCCUCUCUUGCACCCAGCCCGUGAUCAGACAGCAGCGUCGUGAAACCAUAUUACGUUCGUUCCUUGCUAAACGCCUUCCCAGAUAACCUGAUUCUCUCCGCUGCUUAUUAAAGGAACAAAGAAAUAGAAUUUGUUCUUGGUCGAGGUUCAGCCUCAGGGCCGGGCUGCGGAGCCGAGCCCUGAUUGCUCCCAGCAUCCAAGAUAGCAUCUCGCUCUGUCCUUGUCCCUCCACGAUGAGUCAACGGGCCGCUCGGGCCAUUCCCGGAGGGGAGCCGGACCUUGCUUCAGUGACCGCGACAACAGAGCUCCAGGUCACGGCGAGACAAUCCAGCUUGCGCUCCUUCCCUCCCCCCACCCCCAGCGCGCCCAGUGCCCAUGACUAGGGCGUUUUGUGUCAUCCUGCAGUUUGGCACGACCUCUGCAUUUCCUGCCAAUAAUGCUGGCUGUUGUUUCUGAGCAAAUGGUACAAAUGACCAACGUGCCCUCCAUGCAA